UUUCAUUCACAACAAGGGUUAUGUAUACAUGCAUGCUUACCUACAGGUUUAGAUGUCAUUCAACUCAACUCCAUGGGGUUGCAGCUGGAAAUGGAGUCAGAUUGGCAACAAAGCAUUUACUGAAUGCCUACUCAGGGCUGAAAUCUUUCAGAGACAAGGUUCAAGAGAGCAAGCAAAACAUUACAGGACAAUGAACAGAUCAAGUAGCCACUCCCAGUCAAGGACUGUAUGAGUUGCCCAGAGCAAGACCUUUUAGGAUAUGGUACAUAGCUGGGAGCCUGCCAACUCCUGAUUUUGUCAUUACCCUCAGAACUCCAGAAUGUAAGCUCCAUGAAGAAAAAAUAAGUAAUAAGAAAAAAAGAAAGAAAGAGAGAGAUAAGUAAAGGGUUUUAAAACAGGUCAGGGAGACUCCUGGGGUGGCCACCAGAAAUGCCGUUGAGAAUAGAAGACACCAAUGCUGAAG